UCUCUAAUCUAUCUCAUGUUUACCGCUAAACCGCUUUGUCCGCGAAAAAAUGACAGAUCUAUUUAUGUAUGGACCAUUUUAGCGCUAUACUGCCUACAACAUGAAUCUGUAAUAACUUAAAACAAAUGUUUUCCAUUUAAUAUUUCAAAUGUGGUCCGAAGAAUAAACUUUCAGAUCAAUGUAAAAUAUGUUUGUGUCACUAAGUGAGUUUUAAUUUUUAUAACCUAUAAAUUCGUUAGGAAAUCAGGCGAAAACGCGUUAUUUUAAUUCAUUGCAAUAAGUGUUCGGUGUACAGUAGACCUAGUGAAAUCUAGCCUAGUGCAACGGAUGUAAAUAAACUGGAUACUUAGCUUUCCAGCAAAGGUAAGCAUUUAUUUUUACACUUUAAUGUAAUCAAACAAGUCGUUGUUUUCGAAAACUUGCAAAACAUAUCUGUGAUCUCUAACGAAUAAGUUGAAAUAGGCUUUCUUUAUCGCAAAAUGUUUGUUAUUUCUUUUCUGAAAAUUUUUGAGUAUGCUUUGUGUUUUCUGACAAAUUAUUUCUCAUGGGCGUGUCUUAGUUCCAAAAAUUAAGCGACGCGCCCCCGUGAGUAGAUAAAUGAAAUAAUAUUGAACCUAAUUUGGCAGAACCUAACUCUAAAACUAAACCCUUUUAUUUCUUAUAAUAUAUGAACAUUUCUAAUGUCUGACUAUUUCUUUUCAGUCUCGCUGAUCUGCACAACCAGCUCAUGUUCAACGUUACUGAACUACAAAGUAAUCCGACAAUCAGACUGGACCCGGUCAUAUCAGAAUCCAGAGGUAGGAGAUGAACAUACAAUUGAUUCUGCAUCGAUGCAUGACCUCUCCCGGAACGCGUCAAGAAUUAACAAUGGAAGAAAAUACUACAGACGUGUUUACUAACAAUAAAGUUAUUUUUGUUUUUAUGAAA